rnacentral:rRNA from 1 species
UCGAUUGAGUUUGAUCAUGGCUCAGGAUAAACGCUGGCGGCGUGCCUAACACAUGCAAGUCGAACGCCCUUUCGCUUCGGUGAGAGGGAGUGGCGGACGGGUGAGUAGCACAUGGGUACCUACCUUGAGGUGAGGAAUACCACCGAGAAAUCGGUGACGAGACCGCAUACGCUCGGGCAACCGAGCAAAGCUCCUUUUCGGAGGGGCGCCCCAAGAUGGGCCUGUGCCUGAUUAGCUAGUUGGUGGGGUAAGAGCCCACCAAGGCGACGAUCAGUAGCUGGUCUGAGAGGAUGAUCAGCCACACUGGGAUUGAGAACGGCCCAGACUCCUACGGGGGGCAGCAGUGAGGAAUUUUCGGCAAUGGGGGCAACCCUGACCGAGCAACGCCGCGUGCAGGAUGACCCUUUUCGGAGCGUAAACUGCUUUUCUCGAGGACGAGGAUGGACGGUACUCGAGGAAGAAGCCCCGGCUAACUACGUGCCAGCAGCCGCGGUAAUACGUAGGGGGCGAGCGUUGUCCGGAGUUACUGGGCGUAAAGGGCCCGCAGGCGGUCGUCUCAGUUCCCCCUGACAAUCCUCGGCUUAACCGAGGAGGGCGUGGGAAGACGGGACGACUUGAGGCAGAGAGAGGGACAGGGAAUUCCGGGUGGAGUGGUGAAAUGCGUAGAUAUCCGGAGGAACACCAAAGGC